rnacentral:rRNA from 1 species
UAUACAUGCAGUCGAGCGAGCGGAACCAACAGAUUUACUUCGGUAAUGACGUUGGGAAAGCGAGCGGCGGAUGGGUGAGUAACACGUGGGCAACCUGCCCUAAAGCGGGGGAUAACAUUUGGAAACAGGUGCUAAUACCGCAUAACUACGAAAACCACAUGGUUUUCGUAUCAAAGAUGGUUUCGGCUAUCACUUUAGGAUGGACCCGCGGUGCAUUAGCUAGUUGGUAGGGUAACGGCCUACCAAGGCAAUGAUGCAUAGCCGAGUUGAGAGACUGAUCGGCCACAAUGGAACUGAGACACGGUCCAUACUCCUACGGGAGGCAGCAGUAGGGAAUCUUCCACAAUGGGCGCAAGCCUGAUGGAGCAACACCGCGUGAGUGAAGAAGGGUUUCGGCUCGUAAAACUCUGUUGUUGAAGAAGAACGUGCAUGAGAGUAACUGUUCAUGCAGUGACGGUAUUCAACCAGAAAGUCACGGCUAACUAC